GACGAACGCUGGCGGCGUGCCUAAUACAUGCAAGUAGAACGCACAGUUUAUACCGUAGCUUGCUACACCAUAGACUGUGAGUUGCGAACGGGUGAGUAACGCGUAGGUAACCUGCCUGGUAGCGGGGGAUAACUAUUGGAAACGAUAGCUAAUACCGCAUAAUAUUCAUUAUUGCAUGAUAAUUAAUUGAAAGGUGCAAUUGCACCACUACCAGAUGGACCUGCGUUGUAUUAGCUAGUAGGUGAGGUAACGGCUCACCUGGGCGACGAUACAUAGCCGACCUGAGAGGGUGAUCGGCCACACUGGGACUGAGACACGGCCCAGACGCCUACGGGAGGCAGCAGUAGGGAAUCUUCGGCAAUGGACGAAAGGCUGACCGAGCAACGCCGCGUGAGUGAAGAAGGUUUUCGGAUCGUAAAGCUCUGUUGUAAGAGAAGAACGGGUGUGAGAGUGGAAAGUUCACACUGUGACGGUAUCUUACCAGAAAGGGACGGCUAACUACGUG
rnacentral:rRNA from 1 species